GUAUUGAUUGCGUGUUAUCGCAAAAAUGGGGGUCAUUCUACACUUUUAAAAUAGGGGUUUGUGUGAAAACGCAAGCCCCCCUCCCGGAUCGGUUUGAUCCCAAAGGGUUGCCCACGCGGUGGUGCACAAAAGGGUGAGAUGGAUUUUAUGUGAGAGGACACACUCUGGCGUGCACGACUUUUUGUGUUAAAAGUCAGCGACAGCCCUCGCGUGCCUCACACAUUUUGUACGAUAAUGAUCCUUCCGCAGGUUCACCUACGGAAA
rnacentral:misc_RNA from 1 species